GCCGGUGAGGUCCUGAGGGUAAGGACGCUCGCGUCGUAACCGAGAAGAAGCGGGUUCGAUCCCUGCCGCCGGCU
rnacentral:tRNA from 1 species